CCUCCUUUCUUCCUCCUUUCUGCCUCUUGGUCCAUGGGCGGGCGCCUGCACCAGCCAAGCCGCGUGAGGGAAGAAGGUACAGCGUAUCGUAAACCUCUUUUGUCAGGGAACAAAGGCGGGGACUAGUCCCCGGAUGAGGGUACCUGAAGAAAAAGCAUCGGCUAACUCCGUGCCAGCAGCCGCGGUAAUACGGAGGAUGCGAGCGUUAUCCGGAUUUAUUGGGUUUAAAGGGUGCGCAGGCGGCCUGUUAAGUCAGCGGUAAAAGCCCGGGGCUCAACCCCGGCGAGCCGUUGAAACUGGCGGGCUGGAGUUGGAGAGAGGUACGCGGAAUGCGCGGUGUAGCGGUGAAAUGCUUAGAUAUCGCGCAGAACCCCGAUUGCGAAGGCAGCGUACCGGCUCCACACUGACGCUGAGGCACGAAAGCGUGGGUAUCGAACAGGAUUAGAUACCCGGGUAGUC
rnacentral:rRNA from 1 species